rfam:Edhazardia aedis TSNM 41457 supercont1.26, whole genome shotgun sequence.
GGGGGUUUAGCUCAGUAGUAGAGCGUUCGCUUAGCGUGCGUAAGGUCGUGGGUUCGAUUCCUACAAUCUCCA